AUGAAACACUCCUACGGGAGGCAGCAGUGGGGAAUUUUCGGCAAUGGGGGCAACCCUGACCGAGCAACGCCGCGUGAGUGAAGACGGCCUUCGGGUUGUAAAGCUCUGUUGUAAGGGAAGAACGGUAGAUAGAGAAUAUCUAAGUGACGGUACCUUACCAGAAAGCCACGGCUAACUACGUGCCAGCAGCCGCGGUAAUACGUAGGUGGCGAGCGUUAUCCGGAAUUAUUGGGCGUAAAGGGUGCGUAGGCGACCUGUUAAGUAAGUGGUUAAAUUGUUGGGCUCAACCCAAUCCAGCCACUUAAACUGGCAGGCUAGAGUAUUGGAGAGGCAAGUGGAAUUCCAUGUGUAGCGGUAAAAUGCGUAGAUAUAUGGAGGAGCACCAGUGGCGAAGGCGGCUUGCUAGCCAAAGACUGACGCUCAUGCACGAAAGCGUGGGGAGCAAAUAGGAUUAGAUACCCUGGUAGUCCGAAGUUC
rnacentral:rRNA from 1 species